rnacentral:rRNA from 1 species
GGCUUUCUGAGUAACAUGGGGGGUCGUGCCUUCCCAGUGGGCAUACGAGCCUAAACGGACGCGGUAAAUCGUGCUAAGGUAGCUAAAUUAUGGCCCAUUAAUUGUGGGUCCUGUGAAUGGUUUGACGAGUCCUCGACUGUCUCAAGGUUGUUUUGGUGAACUUGAAUUGAAUGUGUAAAUGCUUUCAUGAGAAAGAAAGACGAGAAGACCCCGUGAAGUUAGAAAUUCCUAUUAUAGCGUGAAUCCACAUUGAUUGGCGUCAGCGUUAAGUGCCCGUGGGGCCUAGGAGCCUUCAGGUUGAAGGUUCCAGAGCCCCACGGUUACUGAGUAGAGGAGUGUAGUUUUGAUGAGUUUUGGCUGGGGCAGCAAAGAGGCAAAACAAGACCUUUUUAGUCACAGAACGGGUGCGUUACGACCCACAUGAAUAUAUUGUGUGAUUAACAGAAGGAGUUACUCCGGGGAUAACAGCGUAAUCUUCCUUGAUAGUUCUUAUAGAUGGGCGGGUUUGCGACCUCGAUGUUGGCUCUGGGUAUCCUGAGGCUUGCAGGCGGUCUCAAGGGUUGGUUCGUUCGCCCAUUAAAACCCG